UUGAACGCUGGCGGCAGGCUUAACACAUGCAAGUCGAGCGGGGGAAGGUAGCUUGCUACCGGACCUAGCGGCGGACGGGUGAGUAAUGCUUAGGAAUCUGCCUAUUAGUGGGGGACAACAUCUCGAAAGGGAUGCUAAUACCGCAUACGUCCUACGGGAGAAAGCAGGGGAUCUUCGGACCUUGCGCUAAUAGAUGAGCCUAAGUCGGAUUAGCUAGUUGGUGGGGUAAAGGCCUACCAAGGCGACGAUCUGUAGCGGGUCUGAGAGGAUGAUCCGCCACACUGGGACUGAGACACGGCCCAGACUCCUACGGGAGGCAGCAGUGGGGAAUAUUGGACAAUGGGGGGAACCCUGAUCCAGCCAUGCCGCGUGUGUGAAGAAGGCCUUAUGGUUGUAAAGCACUUUAAGCGAGGAGGAGGCUACUUUAGUUAAUACCUAGAGAUAGUGGACGUUACUCGCAGAAUAAGCACCGGCUAACUCUGUGCCAGCAGCCGCGGUAAUACAGAGGGUGCGAGCGUUAAUCGGAUUUACUGGGCGUAAAGCGUGCGUAGGCGGCUUAUUAAGUCGGAUGUGAAAUCCCCGAGCUUAACUUGGGAAUUGCAUUCGAUACUGGUGAGCUAGAGUAUGGGAGAGGAUGGUAGAAUUCCAGGUGUAGCGGUGAAAUGCGUAGAGAUCUGGAGGAAUACCGAUGGCGAAGGCAGCCAUCUGGCCUAAUACUGACGCUGAGGUACGAAAGCAUGGGGAGCAAACAGAUUAGAUACCCUGGUAGUCCAUGCCGUAAACGAUGUCUAC
rnacentral:rRNA from 1 species